UCCUUUUUCUGUUAUGUUUGAAAGUGAACGAGCGACGGGUAUUAUUGAGCCUCCGUCGGCCGUCCUGUCCUUCCCCUCCCCUUUUCACUCACACCGAGGUGCUAAUGGCUCACUCCGGCCAGGGCUCGGCCCCGCGGUGGAAAGGGUCCGAUCACCGGGCGGAUUGGACCCGAGGGAGAUCAUUCUGUCUCUGAUCGUCGUGUCGUCAACAUCCCCCGAAAAAGGCUACAACAUGUUCCGUCAGAGCACCCCGCUUCCGCCAACUGAAUCUCCAUCUCCGGCGCCGGCAGCAACAGUGUCCGCUUCUUCCGAGUCCACGACAGCAGAAUCGCCAUCCCCCGGGCUGUCGGAAAAGGACACCCUUGAGAGCCUGAAUCGGGAGAUUCGCCAACUUCGGGCGGAGAAGGCUAGAGCUCAGAAGGAGAUAUCUCGAUUGCGCUCGGAGGCUACAGUCAUCAGACAAGGGUUCCUCGUGUUGGCGGCUGAUAUGCCCAAUCCGCGGCCGGAGGUCCGGGCCUAUUUACGAUGGGUCUUACUAGGGGGCAUCUGCCCGCCGCUCCAUUGGUCAGAAGAGUAGCAGCUGAAUACACGCCCACGCUUGGGCUCCGGUUUAAGA